UCCUGCUGCCACGUAUGAUAUGCCUUGCUUCUCCUUCACCUUCCACCAUGAUUGACCAUCGUGAAGCCUGUGGCCAAAGAGUUUGAUCCAGACAUGGUCUUAGUAUCUGCUGGAUUUGAUGCAUUGGAAGGCCACACCCCUCCUCUAGGAGGGUACAAAGUGACGGCAAAAUGUUUUGGUCAUUUGACGAAGCAAUUGAUGACAUUGGCUGAUGGACGUGUGGUGUUGGCUCUGGAAGGAGGACAUGAUCUCACAGCCAUCUGUGAUGCAUCAGAAGCCUGUGUAAAUGCCCUUCUAGGAAAUGAGCUGGAGCCACUUGCAGAAGAUAUUCUCCACCAAAGCCCGAAUAUGAAUGCUGUUAUUUCUUUACAGAAGAUCAUUGAAAUUCAAAGCAAGUAUUGGAAGUCAGUAAGGAUGGUGGCUGUGCCAAGGGGCUGUGCUCUGGCUGGUGCUCAGUUGCAAGAGGAGACAGAGACCGUUUCUGCCCUGGCCUCCCUAACAGUGGAUGUGGAACAGCCCUUUGCUCAGGAAGACAGCAGAACUGCUGGUGAGCCUAUGGAAGAGGAGCCAGCCUUGUGAAGUGCCAAGUCCCCCUCUGAUAUUUCCUGUGUGUGACAUCAUUGUGUAUCCCCUAACCCCAGCACCCUCAGACAUGUCUUGUCUGCUGCCUGGGUGGCACAGAUUCAAUGGAACAUAAACACUGGGCACAAAAUUCUGAACAGCAGCUUCACUUGUUCUUUGGAUGGACUUGAAAGGGCAUUAAAGAUUCCUUAAACGUAACCGCUGUGAUUCUAGAGUUACAGUAAACCACGAUUGGAAGAAACUGCUUCCAGCAUGCUUUUAAUAUGCUGGGUGACCCA
rnacentral:sRNA from 1 species